UACGGAGGAUGCAAGCGUUAUCCGGAAUGAUUGGGCGUAAAGCGUCCGCAGGUGGCAAUGUAAGUCUGCUGUCAAAGCGUCUGGCUCAACCAGAUAAAGGCAGUGGAAACUACAUAGCUAGAGUAAGGUAGGGGUAGAGGGAAUUCCUGGUGUAGCGGUGAAAUGCGUAGAUAUCGAGAGGAACACCAGUGGCGAAGGCGAGUCCCUGGACAACUCCUGACACUGAGGCACGAAAGCUAGGGGAGCAAACAGG
rnacentral:rRNA from 1 species